AUGCGGGAUAAAGCUAAGUCAAAGGUGGUGAGGUAAUCUAUCUUUUAUAAUAUCUCGGAGUCGAUCAAUGUAGUCUUUUUCUUUUUCUUCUUGAGUAGUUUUUGCUUUACCCAGAUGAUUUUCUCGAGAAAUCCCAUUAAUGAAGUUGGAGAAAAAUAAAAAUGCUUAUUUAGUUACUUAAUCUGAAAAAAGAUUGCAUUUUUCUUUACAUAUCUAUGUUGAGUAAAUUUUUGAUGAAACACGUUUUGAACAAUGGACUUUGUAAGAAUUUGAUUUUGAGUGUGAGGAGUUUCUUUUUUCAAUUUUGGGUUCUUACCAGAAUUUUGAUUGUAAUGUUAGAGAAAAUUAUUGAUGAUUCAAAAAUAGUUUGUUAUGUGACCUGCCAUAUAUAGUCAAGCCAAAGUUUUAACUAAAGAUUUAAUUUUUAGAUUAAUAUUUGUUGUUUCUCAAGUUUAGUCUCUUUUUUAUACAUUUAUGAAAUAGAACAAUGUAAUGAUCCCACAAGCUUGUUGAAAGUAAUUUUGAUAUUUCCUUUUUUUAUUGUUAUUUUCAUUAGAUAAGAAAAUCAGAUUAAAUAGAGUAAAGUGUUUUCACUUUUUUAUUAUAUUGAGUUAAACGAGUAUGUGGUUUGUAGUCUAAUAUUUGUAAAUAAAUUUGGUGAUAUUGUUUAUGUUAUUUUAGAAAAUAAUUAGAUUAUUUCUAUUGUUUAUAUUAUUUUUUCAAAAAGCUUUAGAUGUUUUUGUUAUUUAUAUUUUUUAUGCUGUUUAUUAACAAGAGAUAUAUUUAUUCGUGAUAUAGUUUUUGCUAGGGGUGAGCAUUUAACCCGUUGGGCCGACCAAACCGACCAACCCAACCCGUUUUUGGGCUGAAACAAUCCUUUAUUUAUUGGGCCGAAAUUAAAUGGGUUAUAAAAGUCCCAACCCCUGAUCAUUGGGUUGGUUACGGGCUGCCUUAAGUGUAACCCAUUCAACCCAACCCGAACCGGCCCAAUAAACAAUUUAAAGUAUAUAUAUAUAUAUAUAUAUAUAUAUAUAUAUACUAUUACACAUUUCUAACCCUAAGUCCCUAACAACCGCCUGCUUUCUCUUCAUCAUUCAUUCUUACCAAAACAAAACCCUAGCAUAGGAGAACAGCUGCCCCUUCCUUCAUUCUUACAAAAAAAAAAAAUACAAGCAGCUGAAGUUCUUCGUUCGCACGCACGAGUACCACCGUAGUACCUCCGCGCCUCUGCCAUCGUCGUUGCCUUGCCGGAGGCCGUGCCUGAGAUAACACCGCAUUAUCUAAGCCGAUGCAAGAGUUUGUUGUUCAGGUGGCCAUUGAAUCGUCGAUCGUCGUAGAGCCUACUCAGUACUACAAACUCAGAAAAUAAACUCAAGGUGAAGGAAUCAUUCCCAAAAGCAAAAAUUAUUGACGUUGAGACUUGAGAUUGUUGAUUAAGGCUGAUGUAAAAAUUGAUUUAGUUUUGUUUAAGUUUGUUAUGGACAAUUUUAAUAGUUUUUAAGACUUUGGAUCACUGUAAUAUUUGAUCCUUGAUAUUAUGUUACUUUGGAUGAAUUAGUUUACAUUUGAAAUUUUAAUUUUUUCAGUAUGCAUUUGGUUACAUUUAAAUCUGAUUUAAUUUUGUGUUGAAAUAAGGGUUAUAACCCAACCCAAACCAACCCAACCCAACCCAUAAAAGAAAAAAUGGGUUGGGUUAGAUAAAUUUCAGUAU